rnacentral:rRNA from 1 species
UACGGGGGGGGCAAGCGUUGUUCGGAAUUACUGGGCGUAAAGGGCGCGUAGGCGGGAUGGCAAGUCGGUCGUGAAAUCCUUCGGCUCAACCGAAGAACGUCGGCCGAUACUGCUGUUCUUGAGGGAUGCAGAGGAGAUUGGAAUUCCAGGUGUAGCGGUGAAAUGUGUAGAGAUCGGGAGGAACACCGGUGGCGAAGGCGGGUCUCUGGGCAUUUCCUGACGCUGAGGCGCGAAAGCGUGGGGAGCAAACGGG